GCUGCUCCAAAGUUCAGCUUGGAUUCACAAGCCCCAGGAGUUCUACCAGCCUGUACACUUCUCCUGGCCGCUGGAUCGUGGCGCGUGUGGGUUAUGUUUGUAUGUGUGUUCAUGUGUGCAUGUCUGGACCCACCUCUGCUUCACAUACCAAACCGAUUGUCCCCGCAUUCACACAGACGGGUAGAAGACUCGCUGGCAGGAAAGAGACAUGCAGCUUUAUGUGCACCAUCCCAGAGGCUCUGCAGUAAAACCCAAACCCUAGAAAUUACACUUAACACCAAUUGGAGUUUAGCUCAAGAUCCCUAAGCCAUGCGAAGAAGUAAAGUGUGAGCCGCUGUAUUGAUGUGGGACUGUAGGAGACGGGAUGGCGGGGAAAGUUUGGAGGGAAACCUGGCAGGCCCGCCAAUCAAUCGCAAAGUUCACAUUAAAAAGUGCUGACAGCAGUGGGAGAGAGAGUUCCCACUUUCAUCUAGCACGAGACCUCCAGCUAACCUCCACGUCACACUUUUCCUCUCCAGACCUUCUUUCUUUAUUAAAUUGUGUUGCAUCCCACGGUGGAAUUGAAGGCACCGCCUGCUUUGUCACUUAUCGCAAAACUUUUGACUCAUUGCAUUUUUUAUAUGAAAAACAAUUCACAUGAUAGCCUUGAACCCAGGGCCUCCUUUUAUCUUUGUAGAGGCCACACACAUUUUUCUUGUCCAGAUUUGUCCUUUGCUUAGUUGAGUUUGCUAAAGUCGCUGCUGUAAGAAACUGUUAUGCGUUGAGUUUUUUUUUACACUAUUCUUAUGUAUUUGUGAAAG